GCCCAGGUGGCGAAAUAGGUAGACGCAAGGGACUUAAAAUCCCUCGGUCGCAAGACCGUGCUGGUUCAAGUCCAGUCUUGGGCACCA
rnacentral:tRNA from 7 species